UACGUAGGGGGCAAGCGUUGUCCGGAAUUAUUGGGCGUAAAGCGCGUGUAGGCGGCUUUGCAAGUCGGGUGUGAAAGCCCUCAGCUCAACUGAGGAAGUGCGCCCGAAACUGCAGAGCUUGAGUGCCGGAGAGGGUGGCGGAAUUCCCCAAGUAGAGGUGAAAUUCGUAGAUAUGGGGAGGAACACCGGUGGCGAAGGCGGCAUCCUGGACCGGUAUUGACGCUGAGGCGCGAAAGCUAGGGGAGCAAACGGG
rnacentral:rRNA from 1 species